rnacentral:rRNA from 1 species
AGCAGUAGCCGCGGGAAUACGUAGGGGGCAAGCGUUGUCCGGAAUUAUUGGGCGUAAAGCGCGCGCAGGCGGUUUUUUAAGUCUGGUGUCUAAGUGCGGGGCUCAACCCCGUGACGCACUGGAAACUGGGAGACUUGAGUGCAGAAGAGGAGAGCGGAAUUCCACGUGUAGCGGUGAAAUGCGUAGAGAUGUGGAGGAACACCAGUGGCGAAGGCGGCUCUCUGGACUGUAACUGACGCUGAGGCGCGAAAGCGUGGGGAGCAAACGGGAUUAGAUACCCCCGUAGUCCCUGUCUCUUAUACA